UUUUUACAACUUUAGAAGAGCUAAACAAUAUUUAAUUGAUACAAGGAAAUUAGAUUUAUAAAUUAUAAAUCAAAUAAUUUGUUAUAUGUAAAAGGGAGAAAUAUGACUGAAUUUAUUAAGUUUGUUUGUAUUCUGAUUAUCUUUUUUUCCCUACUUUUUAUUGCAACAAAUGUUGAAGCAACAUUUUUUAAAUGUAUUACUGAUUCUGAUUGUCCAAAAGAUAUGUGCCCUGACCCUCGUAUGAAACCAAAGUGCAUCGACGCCAGAAUAUGUAAAUGUGUUAAAAAAUUGUACCCGGAAAAAUAAGUGCAUGCGAUUCUUUUUUAUUGUCAAAGCCAAGAGAGUACACAAAUAUCAUGUUAGAAUAUUCCAUGAGCUGUCGUUUAUUUGCUGAAUUCGCACAAAAUAAUUUGAUUCUAUUUUCUUUUUAUUUUUAUUUUUAAUUCCAAGAUCCUUGUGGUUAUGGAUUUGUAAUCUAAGAUGAUUUUAUUGAAAUGAAAUAAGACAGCAAAUAAUAUUAUUUAA